rnacentral:lncRNA from 1 species
CAUUAUUGAUGUACAAACGUUAUUGAUACAGGAAGUGACAGACAGUUCUUCUGUUGUGUCAGAUCGUGUUCAAUAUAAAUAUUUGCAAUGUUAUUAAAAGAUGGUCAAGUAGACCUAUCACAUUGAUUGAGUUUGAACAACUUCUUCACGCACCUCCUUGCAAUGCUGACUUGCACCACGAAUGCUGUCUUCCCACAAAGGCGACUGAUGAGAGAGCAGUGGUGUAUUCAUGGACUGCCGGUGGUCUCCAGGGGCCGCCUCACCCCCUUCAGCUGUAUUAAAUACCUCUAAAGUGUAUAAUUGCUGAUCAGAGAGGCUGUUUGCGGCUGGUUGCUGGUUGCAAGCAGUGGAAGACACACAGCAGAGUGGUUCAUUCAAUGGGAGCAGUGGUGUCUCUUUACCAGGGCCUUUGUGUGUAGAACAGGUUGGGUUGUAGCAUUGUGGCUCUAACCGGCAGAGCUGACAUAGAUCCAGUUAAUAACUAAAGGCCCCCACUACACAGUGGGAUCCCUAUCUGCCUGCCACACUGACCUCUGAGAGGGGCUACCCAGGGGGCCUUGGUGUCCCUGUCCCCCAGUCACAAUGAGGGGCAUCCAGCAUCGCCCUGCAUCGCCCUCCACCCCCCCUGCAGACAGUGCACCUGCCCAGCUACCCCCCCAUCCCCCAGAGUGGUGUCUGUGUGCGGCCAGGGCCGGCAUUCCACUCGGACACUGAUGCAGAGUGACCAGAGUGACCGUUUCACACAAGCUGCCCUCCAGUAGAGCUGUGCUGGAGCCAGACUCAGGCAGGCAGGCCUGAGAGAACAGGGGACAGGAGGGGACACAGGAUGGACAUCCUUAACUGGAAGGCGUCAGACUUACUGGUACAUGUUUGUCUAGAAGGCCAUUUUAAGGCAGCUGCCAACAUAUUUAAGUCAUGGACAUUACUGUCUGAGAUCACACAACUCUAUUUUAUAGAAUGUUCCCAACACAAGAACUGAUUUUGGUAAGAGUGCUUUUAGCUUGGCUGCCCCAUCAUAUCGGAACACUUUGCAGAAGGAUUUUAAGACUCAAUCAUUUUAUUCUGAGUGAUGGUUUUAAAUCCCGGAUUGGAGGGCUGCUGUCCAAAGAUUGCACGUUUUUAAACCUGCUCUUUUUAAGUUCAGUCAGUCACUUUGCACUGUUUUAACUUCUAUACAUUGUUCUGUUUCAUGUUGUGCCGUGUCUCAUGUGGAACUAUAUGUAUGCUGCCCUCAGUCUUGGCCAGGGCUCACUUGAAACGGGAAAUGUCGUCUCAACGUGACCUCUGGUUAAAUAAAGGAAACAGAAAACAGAAAAGGAGAGAGACAGGGCAAAGGGAGAUAAGUCUCCACAAAGACAACAGCAGAGAGCUGCAACAAAGCUAGUCAUCAGAAUCACAGAAUGAAAUGCAAGCAAGAGAGAGAGAGAGAGAGAGAUACAAGCCGAUAUUGAAUAGCUAUUUGAAAUGACAACAGAGUUAUAGUUAUGCGUAGUGUUUAACACCACUAAACGAGUAGGGAUCAUAUGUGACUGGAAAUGAUAUCUGUUAAUGAAGUGAAGAAGAUUCACACCCUUUAGUUUUUAUUAUUAUAUUU